rnacentral:rRNA from 1 species
GACGAACGCUGGCGGCGUGCCUAACACAUGCAAGUCGAGCGAAUGAAGUUCCUUCGGGAACGGAUUUAGCGGCGGACGGGUGAGUAACACGUGGGCAACCUGCCUCAUAGAGGGGAAUAGCCUUCCGAAAGGGAGAUUAAUACCGCAUAAGAUUGUAGUACCGCAUGGUACAGUAAUUAAAGGAGUAAUCCGCUAUGAGAUGGGCCCGCGGCGCAUUAGCUAGUUGGUGAGGUAACGGCUCACCAAGGCGACGAUGCGUAGCCGACCUGAGAGGGUGAUCGGCCACAUUGGGACUGAGACACGGCCCAGACUCCUACGGGUGGCAG